rnacentral:rRNA from 2 species
GGGUUGUGAGGUUAAGCGACUAAGCGUACACGGUGGAUGCCCUGGCAGUCAGAGGCGAUGAAGGACGUGCUAAUCUGCGAUAAGCGCCGGUAAGGUGAUAUGAACCGUUAUAACCGGCGAUUUCCGAAUGGGGAAACCCAGUGUGACUCGUCACACUAUCAUUAACUGAAUCCAUAGGUUAAUGAGGCGAACCGGGGGAACUGAAACAUCUAAGUAC